AUUGCAAUGAUGAGGUUUUGUAUUUACCGCCCCAGUCUGAAUUAUAUGACUGAAUGGUAACCUCUCUGAUGCAAU